UGGCGUAGUGGUUACUGCGCUCGCCUUGCACGCGGGAGACCUGGGUUCGAUUCCCGG
rnacentral:tRNA from 1 species